AAACGUAGGACGCGAGCGUUAUCCGGAUUUACUGGGCGUAAAGGGCGUGUAGGCGGCCUUUCAAGUCGGCUGUGAAAUACCCCGGCUCAACCGGGGGGGUGCAGUCGAAACUGGGGGGCUUGAGUGCAGGAGAGGGGGGUGGAAUUCCCGGUGGAGCGGUGAUAUGCGUAGAUAUCGGGAGGAACACCGGUGGCGAAGGCGACCUUCUGGCCUGUUACUGACGCUGAGGCGCGAAAGCCGGGGGAGCAAACAGGAUUAGAUACCCUGGUAGUCCCGGCCGUAAACUCUGGGUACUAGGUGUAGGGGGCUUUGAUGCCUUCUGUGCCGUAGUUAACGCAUUAAGUACCCCGCCUGGGGAGUACGAUCGCAAGGUUGAA
rnacentral:rRNA from 1 species